GGGGGCGACACGGCUUCGACGGGGAUAGUUGAACGCGUGGCGGCAGGCCGAGCGACCCGGUGACUCGCUAAUCCAAAGGGACUAAACACAAAAGCAGACUCUUACGAGUACGCUCUAGCCGCUUAAGGCUAGCAUCCCUAAAUCAACAUGGCCCGUGGCGGUUUCAGGGGUGUAAUGCAAAUGGGCUGGUUUUACCUGAUCGCGGAAGGGCGGGUAAAAUGAGAAACACUUUCCGCUGGCCUUCGGGAUAGCCUGUCCACUGGCGAUUUCGGGGCGAGAACCAAAUAAUGGACUAAGCCUGUAGAAACUGCGGGGGAAGAUCUUCGGACGCGGGUUCAAUUCCCGCCGCCUCCACCA
rnacentral:tmRNA from 1 species